UUCUUUAUACUUAAAAUUAAUAAAGACUCACUAUUUCCCGAUAACUUGCUUCAUGGGAACUCUGCCACAUAUGGUUUCUGUCCCAUCAAACACCAUUCCUUUUUUUUUUACUCAUAAGUCAGGAUCACUGUCACACUCAGGGAGAAAGCCCUGGUAGUACUUCUAGCAACAAUCUGUCUACUUGUGUGUAGCACAUUUGACUGUAGGAUGUCUCAUCUUCGGCUUGGGCCCAUUCAUCUGUCGUCUGCAAAGAAACCUCCUCAUUCGCAGGUCAACUUUCUCCCUCACAGCUGGGUCUCCACUAGCGUACCCCUCUAGAAUUUCUAAUCCUAAAGGAAACUCAGUCUCCCCUUUCAGUGUUUUCUCCAUCCUAUCAUGGGUACCAUGGGAGUGAAAGUGGUCAUGAGGGUUCCCUUUGUGCUCUUCCUCUGUUUCCUCCCAUCUCUCCUCAGUCCCGCUCGCCUGGCUUUUCCUUCCAGAAUGUGAUUGAGUCUUCUCAAGUCAAAGCUUCCCCUUUCGCCAUGUGUCAGACACCAUUCCUUCCCUGUGUCUCACCUCUCGAAAGCAUUCAAGACACACUUGCUUGUGACUUCACUGGCCAUAUGCUUGCCUGCCUUUUUCUCAAAUCUUUUUAUCCUUUUACUAUUUAUAUUCUCUUUAGAUGAUGGAAUCUAGUCCCUUGACUUAAAUAUCACUUACAUGCUAGUAACUUGCAAAUAAAUUCAUCUCCAGGGGUCUGUUUAGAGGCAUAUGUGUGGGUGUCUAAUGGAUAACCAAAGCCAAACCUCAUUCUCUCUCUUCAGCUCCAUUUCUCAUUUUCCUCUUUUUGGCACAGGACCCCAUCAGUAAUGUAGACACUCACCCGGGAGCCUCAGAUGCAUCUGUGACCUUUUCUUUUGAUAUCUGCUUUUCAUAUUCAUUUUUAAAUCAAUUAACUGAUAUGUGAGUGUGGGCACACGUGUGCCACAGUGUGUGAGUGUGUGUGUGUGUGUGUGUGUGUGUGAGUGUGUGUGUGUGUCUGUGUGAGUCUGUGUGUGAGUCUGUGUGUGAGUCUGUGUGUGUGAGUGUGUGUGUGUGAGUGUGUGUGUGAGUGUGAGUGUGUGAGAGCGUGUGUGUGAGUGUGUGUGUGUCUGUGUGUGAGUGUGUGUGUGUGUGAGUGUGUGUGUGAGUGUGUGUGAGUGUGAGUGUGUGAGAGUGUGUGUGUGAGUGUGUGAGUGUGUGUGUGAGUGUGUGUGUGAGUGUGUGUGUGUGUGAGUGUGUAUGAGUGUGAGUGUGUGAGAGUGUGUGUGAGUGUGAGUGUGUGAGUGUGAGUGUGUGUGAGUGUGUGUGUGAGUUGUGUGUGUGUCUCUGUGUGUGUCUGUGUGUGUGUCUGUGUGUGAGUGUGUCUGUGUGUGAAUGUGUGAGUGAGUGUGUGUGUGAGUGUGUGUGUAUGAGUGUGUGUGUAUGAGUGUGUGUGUGAGUGUGUGUGAGUGUGUGUGUGUCUGUGUGUGUGAGUGAGUGUGUGUGAGUGAGUGUGUGUGAGUGAGUGUGUGUGUGUCUGUGUGUGAGUGUCUGUGUGUGUGUGUGUGUGAGAGUGAGUGUGUGAGUGUGUGUGUGUGUGUGUGAGAGUGAGUGUGUGAGUGUGUGUCUGUGUGAGUGUGUGUGUGUGUGAGUGUGUGUGUGUGUGUGAGUGUGUGAGUGAGUGUGUGUGUGUGUGUGUGUGUGUGUGUGUGUGUGUGUGUGUGAGUGUGGUUGGAAUUGGUUCUCCUUUUCCAUCUUGCUGAAGCAGGGUCUCCCUUGUUUCUGAUGUUCUUUGCACUACAGCUGGUCCAUGAAGCUCUAGGCAAGCUCUCCUGUCUCCAUCUCCCAUCUUGAAGUAGGAGUGCUGGGAUAACAGAUUCAGGCCAGCGCAUUGACAUUUUAGGCAAGCUAUCAGGCUAGUAUGGCUAGCAGUGCCUUUUCCCACUGUGCCAGCUCUUCCAUGUCUGUGUUUUCCAUCUUUUUUGCAAGUUCCAUCUGGUACAAAACAUAUCCCCUGAGAUCCUACUGCUGGCCCAGUACAGUGGCGGAUGCCUGUACUCCAGCACUCAGACUCAAAAAACAAAACAAAAAUCCCCCCUCUCUUUGGGGUUGCAGCAUCAAAGCCCCUGACCAUAGUCUCUCACUGACUCGGCUUUGUAAAUGGGCUCUGUGGUUUCCUGCUUGCCCUCCAUAACUCUCCACACAGUGAGGUGAAUGAGCCCUUUCAGAUGGAGUCAGCAUGCUGUCAUCCCCCUGCUUGAAGCCACUGGUGGCCGCCUAGGAGAAGGCUCCGAGUGUCUGACCAGUCUCAGUGCACUCAGACCUCCGCCUUCCCCUCUGCUCGCAGCGCUUACUGUCCCUCCUACAGUCUGCGCUGGUCUAAUUUCUGUCCUUUGGUUUCACGACAGGGUCUUUGUACUUGGAAGUUUCCACACUCAGACACGCUCUUCUUCCACGCGUUCCACAGUGUUGUCUUCCUCACAGAGCAGGUCUCCUGUGAAAUGGUACUGAGGCAAGAACUCACCUCCUAUGCUGUCUUCACAUAGUGGCUUAUAACAGGAAAGGUUUCCAUCUUGCUGGUUUCUACACACUGCAGACUGCUGGAUGUCCCCGAUCCACAGUGUCCUCACCCUCUCUCUAGGCUGAAGGAAC
rnacentral:lncRNA from 1 species